GAAGGUGGCAAGCGUUGUUCGGAUUUACUGGGCGUACAGGGAGCGUAGGCGGUUCGGUAAGCCCUCUGUGAAAUCUCCAGGCUUAACCUGGAACAGUCGGAGGGGACUGCCGGGCUAGAGGACGGGAGAGGAGCGCGGAAUUCCCGGUGUAGCGGUGAAAUGCGUAGAGAUCGGGAGGAAGGCCGGUGGCGAAGGCGGCGCUCUGGAACGUUUCUGACGCUGAGGCUCGAAAGCGUGGGGAGCAAACAGGAUUAGAUACCCUGGUAGUCCACGCCUUAAACUAUGAAUACUAAGUGUCGGCGGUUUACCGCCGGUGCCGCAGCUAACGCAUUAAGUAUUCCGCCUGGGAAGUACGGCCGCAAGGUUG
rnacentral:rRNA from 1 species